ensembl:lncRNA
UUAAAUUGUAAAAAUGCAGAAUGUUUUCUGUAAGGGGUAGGUUUAGGUGUAGGGUUGGUGUAGGGCGAUAGAAUAUACAGUUAGUACAGUAUAAAAACCAUUACGCCUAUAUGUCCCCAUUUAGAUAGCUAAGUAAACGUGUGUGUGUGUGUGGGUUGAAGGUUGCUUCUGAGAUCUAUUGAUGUGGUUACAGGAGCUGUAUGUAGGUCAGGACUGAAGUAAAGUUAGACCCCAAAAGCUGGUGCAGUACUAGGUAAUGAAACAUCAGCACAUCUUUAUUCAUUUCAAUUAAACAGUAGUUUAAUAAGCUGCCAAAAAAAAAAAAAAAAAAACAGAAUUAAAUAUAGCAAACGCAUAGGAUAAAAAUAUAAAAUAAGUAAGAUUUUUCCCCCUCAAAUUAUCCUAAUGGCAAAACUGCUGACCUCUGUUAAAGGACAAGAGUCCUUGACCGAAAGAGGCGUGACAUGAACUUCCCAGAAAGUGUCGAGGAAAUUAUAGAGGGUUUCCCUCUACAAUGAAGCAUAAACAACAUUUAUCCAAAACCUGUCAGAAUUAAACUUUAAAUCCUCAGCACAACAUUUCCUGCAGUUGAUACUUGGGCAUGAGGAGGUCAGUGCCACAGGAAAACAGGAAGUACUGAGACCACGACAAGCUCAACUAACAGGAAGUGUACAGCUUUGAGCAGGAAUCUUAUUCGUGAUCCGACAGUGAAAAAACUGCUUGCAAAUGAGGUAAUGGUGACCUUUGACCUCCCACAGAGUGCUUUGAAUAGCCCUGUCAACCUCCAUUCACUUCAGCUAGACAAACUGCUUCCCAUGGCAAGAAUCGUGGGAGAACCGAUCUAUAUUCUAAAAAUAAAUUAGGCCUAAUUCUGAGAUUCGGGGGCAAAUCUGCUUAAAGAUGGGAGGUUGAGCAGCUGGCUGUCUGGUGCAGUCUUAACAACCUGGAGCUCA